AUUGAACGCUGGCGGCAGGCCUAACACAUGCAAGUCGGACAGUAGCACAGAGGAGCUUGCUCCUCGGGUGACGAGUGGCGGACGGGUGAGUAAUGUCUGGGGAUCUGCCCGAUAGAGGGGGAUAACCACUGGAAACGGUGGCUAAUACCGCAUAACGUCGCAAGACCAAAGAGGGGGACCUUCGGGCCUCUCACUAUCGGAUGAACCCAGAUGGGAUUAGCUAGUAGGCGGGGUAACGGCCCACCUAGGCAACGAUCCCUAGCUGGUCUGAGAGGAUGACCAGCCACACUGGAACUGAGACACGGUCCAGACUCCUACGGGAGGCAGCAGUGGGGAAUAUUGCACAAUGGGCGCAAGCCUGAUGCAGCCAUGCCGCGUGUAUGAAGAAGGCCUUCGGGUUGUAAAGUACUUUCAGCGGGGAGGAAGGCGAUGUGGUUAAUAACCGCGUCGAUUGACGUUACCCGCAGAAGAAGCACCGGCUAACUCCGUGCCAGCCGCCGCGGUAA
rnacentral:rRNA from 1 species